CGAAAGCCUGACGGAGCAAUACCGCGUGCGGGAGGACGGCCUGUGGGUUGUAAACCGCUUUUCUCAGGGAAGAAGACCUGACGGUACCCGAGGAAUCAGCAUCGGCUAACUCCGUGCCAGCAGCCGCGGUAAUACGGAGGAUGCAAGCGUUAUCCGGAAUGAUUGGGCGUAAAGCGUCCGCAGGUGGCAAUGUAAGUCUGCUGUCAAAACCCAGGGCUCAACUCUGGUCAGGCAGUGGAAACUACAGAGCUAGAGUUCGGUAGGGGCAAAGGGAAUUCCCGGUGUAGCGGUGAAAUGCGUAGAGAUCGGGAAGAACAUCGGUGGCGAAAGCGCUUUGCUAGACCGAAACUGACACUCAGGGACGAAAGCUAGGGGAGCG
rnacentral:rRNA from 1 species